GAUGAAGAACGCAGCGAAAUGCGAUACUUGGUGUGAAUUGCAGAAUCCCGUGAACCAUCGAGUCUUUGAACGCAAGUUGCGCCUCAAGCCAUUAGGUUGAGGGCACGUCUGCCUGGGCGUCACAUAUCGUUGCCUGAUGCCAGUUUCCUCGUGAUGGGUGACUGUGCAGGGCGAAUGAUGGCUUCCCGUGAGCAUUGUUGCCUCAUGGUUGGUUGAAAAUUGAGUCCUUGGUAGGGAGCGCCGUGAUAGAUGGUGGUUGAGUGACGAACGAGACCCAAUCAUGUGAGACCCCUACCGAAUUUGGCUUUCAUGACCCACAUGCGUCUUUGGAACGCUCAUGACGAGACCUCAGGUCAGGCGGGGCUACCCGCUGAGUUUAAGCAUAUCAAUAAGCGGAGGA
rnacentral:misc_RNA from 1 species